rnacentral:rRNA from 1 species
CCCUUAGAUGUUCUGGGCCGCACGCGCGCUACACUGAUGCAUUCAACGAGUUCCUACCUUGGCCGAGAGGCCUGGGCAAUCUUUUGAACUUGCAUCGUGAUAGGGAUAGAUUAUUGCAAUUAUUAAUCUUGAACGAGGAAUUCCUAGUAAACGCAGAUCAUCAAUCUGCAUUGAUUACGUCCCUGCCCUUUGUACACACCGCCCGUCGCACCUACCGAUUGAAUGGUCCGGUGAAGCCUCGGGAUUGUGGUUAGCUUCCUUCAUUGGAAGUUAGCCGCGAGAACUUGUCUAAACCUUAUCAUUUAGAGGAAGGUGAAGUCGUAACA